rnacentral:rRNA from 1 species
AGUGAACGCUGGCGGUAGGCCUAACACAUGCAAGUCGAACGGCAGCACAGUAAGAGCUUGCUCUUACGGGUGGCGAGUGGCGGACGGGUGAGGAAUACAUCGGAAUCUACUUUUUCGUGGGGGAUAACGUAGGGAAACUUACGCUAAUACCGCAUACGACCUACGGGUGAAAGCAGGGGAUCUUCGGACCUUGCGCGAUUGAAUGAGCCGAUGUCGGAUUAGCUAGUUGGCGGGGUAAAGGCCCACCAAGGCGACGAUCCGUAGCUGGUCUGAGAGGAUGAUCAGCCACAAUGGAACGGAGACACGGUCCAGACUCCUACGGGAGGCAGCAGUGGGGAAUAUUGGACAAUGGGCGCAAGACUGAUCCAGCCAUACCGCGUGGGUGAAGAAGGCCUUCGGGUUGUAAAGCCCUUUUGUUGGGAAAGAAAAGCAGCAGGUUAAUACCCCGCUGUUCUGACGGUACCCAAAGAAUAAGCACCGGCUAACUUCGUG